UACAGAGGUCCCAAGCGUUGUUCGGAUUCACUGGGCGUAAAGGGUGCGUAGGCGGCUUGGUGGGUCUGGUGUGAAAGCCCCGGGCUCAGCCCGGGAAGGGCACUAGAAACUGCCGAGCUGGAGUGCCGGAGGGGAGAGUGGAAUUCCUGGUGUAGCGGUGAAAUGCGUAGAUAUCAGGAGGAAUACCGGUGGCGAAAGCGACUCUCUGGACGGCAACUGACGCUGAGGCACGAAAGCGUGGGGAGCAAACAGG
rnacentral:rRNA from 1 species